AAUUAUAAGUAGCUGCGAUCCCCUGGGGCUGCAAGCCGUUACGGCGUUCUAUGCCACCGCGACGACAUAGAACGGCGUUAAGGGGUUAACCCCUUCAGGACUGCAUCAAUAGUGCACGUUAUGAUCAAAACGUAAACAACAACUGGAAUUUGCAUUAUGUCUGUUCAACCGUAAUUCACCGCUGUCACAUUAAGUGCACCCACGCUUAUUAUAUAUCAUUUUGUUCAGGAGAAACAGGGCUUUAAUUUAUCAUUAACUAUUCAUAUAUGGAACAUAAUUUAUUAUGAAUAAAAUUUUAAAAAAUGUGAGAAAAUAAGAUUUUUUUUAAAUUUGUAUUUCCGUCUGACAUUUUAGCUGUGAAUGUCAUAAUACUGUUAUGGGCAAAUGCAAAUAUUACAAGUUUUAGAAUGAAAUGUUGUAUUUCUUAAACUGUGUACUUUGUCUUUAAGAGAGAGUGCAAACUGACAAGGUGUUAGAAAUGGAACAUAUUGUUUUUCAUAGAGGUUUCUUUAAGCAAUAACCUCAGUGCAUAAUAUGUUUACACCAUUUUGUCCCAGACGAAUUACAAUAACAAUAAUGCAUAAACAAGCUUCAAGGCUAUACUACAACUCUUUCAGCAGAUCCACAGCCAGCUGUAGGGGGCCAUGUGAUUGCUCUUUGAGAGUGAUCACAUGGCCCCCGGGGUCUUCUUUUGCCGGGGGAGGGCUGAAUGGACUGUCAGGCAGUCCUCAGGGAGCGCCGGCAAGGUAAGUAUUUUCUGAGGCUCUAGGGCUCAAAGCCAUUACAGCGUUCUAUGCCGCCGCAGAGGCUUUAAAGCCCCAUUUAAUGCGGGAUGGCAUAGAACGGCGUUAAGGGGUUAAGAAAUGGUAUGCCUUUAUGGUGUAGUUGUAAUAUUAGCCUGCACAAGUGCUCCAAAGUGGAACACGGACGCAUCAAAACCCUCCAUGAAAAUUCACACUUAAAAACCUGAACUUGUCACGUCUCUUUUACAGCAGUGUAACUUCACAAAAUAGUGUCUAGGUCAUGCAUUGGGCAUAUUGUUUUACGCAGAAGACUUAGCUGAGCAUAAUGUGGGGGGUUUGAACUUAGUGGCACAUAUGAAAUAUAUAAAAUGCCCAGCAAAAAUGUAAUCUGUAUGUAAAAAAUGCACAAAAUUAUUUUUUACCACAUACAUUGGCAUAUAUUGGUGAGAAAAUGGGGGCAUGUUAAGGCACAAAAUGCACCUUAUGAGAUACCCUGGAGUGUCUAUUUUUACAAAUGGUAGGCCUUUGUGGGUUUUUUUUUUUAACAGUCAGACUGCUAUAAUACCCCAUAUGGAAGCACAGGCUCAUUAAAUCCGUCUUUCAAAAUUCUUCUGUGAAAACUGAAAAGGACAGGUCUCCUAUAUGGCACUGUAGCGUCACGAAAUAGUGCCAAAGGCAUACAGUGGGGUGUUAUUUUACUCAGCAGAUGUAACAGAACACAAAAUAAAACUUUGUACAGGAAUAGCACACACUAACUGUGACAAGAACAAUCUCGCCACUGUGCAUUGGAGGAGCCUGGUUGCCAGCCUGCUGCCUUUUGACUAUGGACCGGCAUUUAAAUACUUUAUUUCCCUAUGCAGAAAGGUCUAUUCCUGUAUUUCUGCUCUGGCGUUCGGUAGAUUCUCGGAUUUACUGAAUGAACUAAUUUAACCCAGCCAUGGAGCCUAUUCGUGUAAUAAAAGACUUUGGCUCCAUGGCAUUUGAACUGUAUGUGUGUGGUCUGAGAGCCAUUCAGUAAUAAUGUGCGCUCAGACCUAAGCUAUCUGGGGAUAUGUUGCAUGUCUGUAUUUUAUGUAAUAAAUGUAACCUUGUGUAUUUUAUGUAUUUUGUCUUUUGCUGCCAUGUGUUCAAUGGAGUUUUGGCUCUGUCCUUGGAGAUAGUUGGAUUACUUCCCAAUUAUCUCCAGGAUAGAAGACUCUGUGGAACUGGUUUUGGGCAGAAAAGCCGUGCUUCAUUUGGUCACAAAGGACUUCGAUCUAUCUUUUGAACCAAUGGACAAAUUUGGAUGAUUUUGACAUAUGUUUGUAUUUGGAGUAGGCUGAUUCUGAAAAUGUAAAUGUGAUGCAUACUUUUCACGUUUUGAAUAAUGUGGAAAAAUUAUAUUUCUCUGCCGGUGAUAAUUACAUUACCCAUUGUGUAAGGUAAUUGUAUCACAGGCAGAGGGGAGGAUUUUGUGUGGGAGUGUCUGAGUUUAUUGUACAUGUUUAUUGGUUGUUUUACAAAACCCUGUGGGUGGUACUAAUGUGUAAGAAUGUGUAUAUAAG